rnacentral:lncRNA from 1 species
UGGCCGAGGCCCCUUCCGCCCACUGGAGAGCUGACAGUCCCCCUUUCCAAACAACACAGCUACAUAAUGGCACUGAUUUUUCUUUCACUUUAUCAUGUAUAAAGCCAUACGAUGGAUCGCAAAGAAACGAAGCAGCUGUACAGGAGCGGGACAGCCUCAGUGUACAAUACAUUCAUAUCCAGUAAGUAGCAUACAUUAGGGUUUAUACAAGGUGGCAGAGUUCUAGGCACGAUGAUAACAAAAUAGAAAGUAUAUUUCCAUCUGUAUAAAUACACAGCCAGAGGUUGGGGAGGAUGCUAGGUUAUUCUGUUUCUCCUGCCGAGGGCCUGGAGGACAGAGGAGUGCCACCUGGUGUGGCCCAUCCCCGCCAUCCAUCGCCAGCGCUGAGAUUCUCCCCCAACCGGGGCCCUAGAGGCCUCGCCUCCGGAUUCCUUUCUCUACUGGGUGCUAGUGAACUUGACAUCCAUCACCCACCACCUCUGACCCAACUCCCAAAUUCCCUAAAGAGACGAGCCAAAUACGCACACACACCCACACUUGCACACGCGCACGCACACGUCCUGUGUUACCACUGGCAGGGGGACUCCAGUCUCAGGAUUUCAGGGCCUGGGCCUGGGUGAAGUGUGGCCCCAGGACUGCCCCCAGCCCCUCCAAGGAUCCCGAAGAUGGGAGAUGUUGGGACUGGAGCAGCCCUUAGAAAGGGCAGUGACCCACCCCCCACCCCUGCCCCUUGAUCAUCCCGAUCCUGAAGCUGGGAAAAACCAAAGAAGGGGAGAAGACCCAGGAGACAGGGGUGGUGGAUGAACCUCAGUGAGGAGGAGAAAGUGGGGCACAGAUACUGUUUUGGUGACAGAUGCAUCCACAGCCCCAGCCUCUGCCCGGCCCAUCCAAGUGGGACAGAAGAAUGCCCAGUUCCUCUCCCUCCCUCCUGAGAGCCUUUACAAAGGCUCCCUCUUAUAGUCACUCAGCCACCAGACACCAUCCCCAUCCUGCCUGUCUCUGAUACACCCAGGGAUCCCCCAAAACCCUGCCAGGGGAGAGGGACCCUUGUAGUCCUCAAGUAUUUGGAGCUGCUACAGGAGAAGCUCCAAUGAGCAUCAGGAUCAAAGGGCCUUUCCCCAACCUGGGACAAUCACCUGUCCCCAGAUCACCUGGCUGGACGGCUGAAUGAGGGAGCCAGGAUACUGUGGGGCCAGGGCAGUCCACUCCCCCCGGAGCUUGCUCAUCCAGCUCCCCUCCUCCUCAUCUCCCCUCCAGGUCACGUCUCCGUCAUUCCCAUGCCUUCCCCUCCCCUCUGGCUCCAGCCGGGAAGGGCCACAUGGACCCUGCUAGUCCUCUCUCCCUGCUGAUGUCACUGCCUUCCCUGCAGACACCAUACUCAGAGGCCUGGCUGCACGGCAAGAGGCAGGCUGGGCCUGGCGUUGGGGCCUGAGCCUGCCUGAGGUCUGCCUCGCUGCGGCACAAGCCGGCCGGGGCCUCUCUCCUCUCUGGCUCUUUCCUGCCAGCAACUCCCAGGCCCUCUUCCAAUCUCCCAUCCCCAGCCCGUUUUCAAGACUAGAAGGCACUCUCCUGGCUGACAAACAGAUUCAACAAUAAACAACAGCCCAAAACAUGGGGGAAGGGGAGG